rnacentral:rRNA from 1 species
UACAGAGGUCCCAAGCGUUGUUCGGAUUCACUGGGCGUAAAGGGUGCGUAGGUGGUUGGGUAAGUCUGAUGCGAAAUCUCCGGGCUCAACCCGGAAAUGGCAUUGGAUACUAUCCAGCUGGAGGGUCGGAGGGGGGACUGGAAUUCUUGGUGUAGCAGUGAAAUGCGUAGAUAUCAAGAGGAACACCAGUGGCGAAGGCGAGUCCCUGGACGACUCCUGACACUGAGGCACGAAAGCUAGGGGAGCAAACAGG